UAAGCCUUAAGGCUGAAUCUAUAUUUCUAGAUUAGUUUCAAUUAGCUUUUGUGUUGCUCAAGUUUUCUAGGUUUAUAUUUUAUAAUUUUCAAAUUACAUCUUCAAAGAUUCUGCAUUUAGUUUCCUAAAGCUUUUGAUUAAGACAAAAGAAUUUUUAAAAUAUUAGUGUAGAAACUGUGAUACUUAUACUAGGGGGACAUAUUAAAAACAUGACAAAAAAAAAAACAGUGGAAGUUUUAAGGGCUACUGGCAUAAAAGCUUGCAGUUUUAAGGGUCUUUUUUUUUUUCAGUUUUUAAGUUAAUAAUCAAUGAAAUGUUUUCCUUGAAAACAUUCCAGUUGACGGAAAACCUAAAUGUACAGAACAGUUAUUAGGAUGAGACGAGCUAUGAAGAUUUCACCCUCUCUGAAUGCAGGAAGGUAUAUUACUAUUUUAUGAUCACUAACAUUCAUACAAUGGGCACUACAUUACAGAGAGUAUUCUAAGCAUUUUUACAUGUGUUAAUUUUCAACAGUUCUGUGUAUAAAAGUGACCAUUUUAAAAAAUGAGGAAACUAAAGUACAUAGAGGUCAAUUAGCAAAAGAUCAUGUACUGUUGUUUAUAUUAUUUAAUGUGUUGAUAUUUAAACCCAUAAUGUGAUCUGCAUGUGAACAGGGAGAUCUGCCAUCCAGAUCCUCCCAAUGGAGAAUUUGUAGCCCCAGCUGCUAGAAGUGCUGUUGGCAGAAAGCCUUCAGCUGGCGCUGCUUGCAAGGAUGGCCUCAGUGCAGAGAGCAGCACCCUCCCCAGGGAAGCCGAUCUCCAGUGACUGAUGGAGACUGGGGUAAAAAGACUUGGCCAUUCCAUCCAAAUGGGCCAAUUCUGGCUGCCCAUUCUGGCUCCAGAGGCUGUUGUCAGGCUUACAUUGCAGCUUGAGUAUUCCCUCUACCCUGUCUUGCUUCUCCCCCUUCCCUUCCACAGGUAUGGAUUCCAAGAACACCUCCUAAUAAAUAUAUUACGCACUAAUCUCCAGUUCAGAAUCUGCCUCUCAACACUGGAACACUGCGUAAUAAUGAAACACAUUUGUGUCUGUGACUUACAUUUCUAAUUACUCUAUAUAAUGUUUCAAUGAACAUCCUUGUACAUAUAUAUGUAGGAAUUGGUGAAAAUUAAUAUUCUAAUGGAUAUGAUUAUUUUUUAUUUGAUGGCUAAUUUUGCUUUGGUUUAGUAUUCCAUGUUAUGUCAUAAAGACUUAUCAUAUCUUGAUUUAGAAAAGCCACAACAGCUCUCUAAGUGUAAUAGUAAAUCUUUUGAGAUUGGUGAUCUGCUUAUCUGUUCUCUACAUUGCCGGUUUCUGCAGUGACGAGUGAUCGGAAUUGCCACUGCAGAAAUCCUCUGAAUCACCGCCCCAAGCCCCUGACUUAGAAAUCCAUUUCAAAUGUUUUACUAUUGUCUUUUUCAUAAAUCAUUCCUGUUACAUAAACCUUGGGAUUAUGUUUUCAUCAAUGUCAUAUGUGCUUUGCAAUUUUCCUCCAGCAAAAUAAUAAUGCAGUACAACUUUUGCUGUAUCCUUUCUGAAAUAGAUGAAUAAUAUAAGGAAUUCAUUUUAUAAUUUUGUUUGGGGUAGACUGAAAAGGUGCAGGUUAUUGAAGGGCUGGUCAUCUCAUAGUAAGAGAAAUAAGAAACAAGAAUUCAAGCUCCUGAGUGAAGUUCAUCUCUCUGAUUAAAGCUUUGGUUGAAGAACAUUUUAAAUAGAAAAGAUAAUAUUUGAGAUAUCUAGGGUUUUUUUUCAUAAACAUAUCUCCAUAUUGGGACAAAUAACCUAUUAAAGAAUGUAGGAAACGAUCUUUUUAUAUUUUAUAUCUCUAAUGAACCAUCCUACAUUUAGAAAGAGAGACUAAGAACCACGAGCUUUCACAAUCAGUUAGUGGCAGAGGCAAGAUCUGAACCCAAGUAAUUCAGUUCCUGGUCCAAUGUCCUUUCAUUAGCCAGUCAGUGUUUCCUGGACCGCCUAACCAUAGUUCUUCAUUUAAUAUUUUGUACAGUAUGAACCAAUACUAAGCAAAUUUUUAUAAGAAUUUUUUGGCAGGUAUCCUAAAAAAAGGAUAAUCUGUAUUUCUACAUCAAAGAAUGAGUCUAAAGGCCUGGCAUCUCAGCCCAGUUGGGGACAAUGCCAAAGACCAUUCUAGCACCAGAGCUCCCUGUGGGUCAACUGUGACCAUCACAAAGCCUGACUUUUCCCUCUACUCAUUCCUGCUUUCUUCCCCUCCCUUUCCCAGGUGUUGAUCCCAAGAAGAGUCCUUAACAAACAUCCUACAUGCUAAACUCCAGCUCAAAAAUCUGCUCCUUUCAAUGAAAACUAAACUAUUGGUGGAUACAGCAUGAAGGUAGCUGUCUGCAAACCAGGAAGAAAGCCUUCACCAGAUGCCAAAUCUGCUGGCACCUUGAUCUUGGACUUACCCGCCUCCAGAGCCGUGAGGAAUAAAUGUCUGUCGUUUAAGCUGCCCAGUCCAUGAUAUUUCUUAUAGCGGCCCAAGUUAACUAAGACGCCAUAAUUAACAUAUUUUUACAAGAUGGACUAAUUCUAAUCACGUGCACGUAAUCUUUCUAGUUUAUGAAAUUUCUGUUACAGUUCUUUCUUCUGAUUAAUUUAAGAUUUGGAGAUAUCUGUGAGUUUUGUAUUUUUGUCAUUGUUGUUAACCCAUCUCAGUGUAAAGAAAGUUUGGGUUUUUAUUAUGUUCAAAUUCUAUAGAUUACUUAAUAUUUAACUUUCUAACAUUUAAUCUUAAGAUUAGAAUUAUAAAACUUCAAGAAUAUUUACAAUGAGAAACAUAUCGUUCAGCCCAAGCAAUAUCGACAAAUACCCCCACUGAGGAGCAGUUUCUCUAUUAAAUAUGAGAUGGAAAACUUCGUACUAUAUUCUAAUGAAUAACUUUAUGAAUAGAAAUAAUAAUCAUGAACUAUAUUUUAUUGCCAUUUAUCAAGGGCACAUUUCAUUUUGGAUUGGCUUUGAUGUAAACCAGGCAGUGGUUUUCUAACACCAGAUUAUAUGUAAAUGGUUGGUUGCAGUUUUGUAAAAGUGAGAAGAAAAAAAAAAGGAAGGAAGCAUGUAUAUCUCCUCCGCUUUCUCCUGUAAAAGUUACAAUAUGGUUAAAACCCACAGAAACAAAGAAAACAGGAGAGGAGAUGAUAGCAAGGUGAUAGCAACAAAAGGUUGAAAUGUGGAAGGUGUACAGAGGAGGGCUAACCACCCCAGCACAUCAGAGGAAAGCCAAUCCAAAGCCAGCAGCUGGAAUAGCACUGCAGACGCUGGUAAGAUGCCAGGGCUGCAGGCACCUGGUGCCUCUAAAAAGUCUGCAUGCAGAUGGAGCGGAAAAUGGGGAGUUUGCAGGAAAUCUUCGUAAGAAGAAUUCCCAACUCGGUUACCUGAUCCAGUGCACUUAGGAUGGCCAGACUUUUGUGGAAUGUCUUGGACUGAACAUCAGGGAAGGAUUUAGCCAUAGACUAUUUCUGAAGAAUAGUAUCAAGUAAAUCCUGCUCAAAAGCCAACUAUUGCAUCAUAGGUACAUUCCGUCUCUAUUUAAGUCCUUGUCUACUGUCUACACAGCCAGACAACUCCUUCCCUAACACACUAUCGGAAGAGUGGAAGCACACUCUGGGGGAGUAGGGGGCUAAGCCAGGCGGUCUCUUGAUUCAGGGUCAAUAGGCAGAGAUGAGUGUGGGGCAUCAAGAUGAAUACAGGAAGUUUAAGAGAAAAUUGGCAUAGUGACUGGUAAGACCCUUCCAGCCACCCCCCACACCAUGCUUGAAACAGCAGUAUUUAGACUUAUAUUCCCUUGAAAUUUUCUUAAGAGAAAAGGCUUACAGAACUCAAAAUUUAAAAAUAUCCAACAAAACAGCUGGGAACAUUUCUGUGGUAGAGUAUAAAAAACUAUAAAAAAAAUUAUUUAAUGAAAAUAGCAACUUAGUCUUCUCCUCCCUGCAUCUUGCAGUGUGACAUUGCAGAGCUUCUCAUCAAGAAGCGGGGACAAUUUCCCCACCCAUUGAAUGUGUGGUAGCUAUGUGGUUUGAUUUGGCCAAAGGAACAUUAGCAAACAUGAUACAAAACAGAUGCUUAAAAACCAUUCGCGCACUGGAGUUUGCUCUCUUGGUGCACUUGGAAUCCUGAGACAACCAUAUGAACAAGCUCAUUCUAGCCUGCUGGAAGGUGAGAGGAAGACAACAAAGAUGCCCCAGCCAACGGCCUAUCAACCGCCACACAAGAGAUCAUAGAUCAUCCAGCUACCAGUCAACAUGGCAGUUGAUCAAAAAAGCAUGAGCUAACCCAGAGAGAUCAGCUGGGCCAGCUCAGACUCCACCUGAACCACAGAAUCAUGAGCUAAAUAAGUGAUUUAUUAUUUUAAGCUACUCAUUUUGAAGAUGAAUUAUUUCACAGCAAAAACUAACCGGUACACUGGCUGACCAAUCUCUUGUAAUACUCAGCAUGGAAUAAGACCCAUUUUUGGACGUGGAACUUCCUAUCAGCUUUGCGGGACCUAAUUUUGACCAAGGGAAAAAAAAGUCAAGUACAGUCUUAACUCACAGAUGAGAAAAACACUUAUUUAAAAAAUUUGUUUUAUCUGUGUCUUAGUUUUCUAAGAACUAGGAUAUAACAAAACUAGCAAAGACAAAAGAAUAAAACAUUAUAAAAACUUAUUUAAUGGCCUUGGAGAGAUGAGAGAUGAUAUUUCACUAUGUAACAUGAAGAGAAAGUUAUAAAAGCAGAACCUUUAAGAAUAAAAACGUGCUAUUGGAAUUUUUAAAAAUGAUAGCAGAAAUGGAAAACCGAAUAGAACAUUGGAAGAUAUAAUUGAGAAAACCUGCUAGAAUAAAAAACAGUAAGACAAAGUGAAAAGCAAAUGGAAGGGAAAGGAGAAAAAAAUUUGAGAAUCAGUUUAAGAAGCUGAGCAUGAAUAAUAGACAUUUAAGAGAGAGAGAGUAGAAAAAUAGAGAAGAAAUUAUCAAAGAAAUCAUUCAAGAUUUUUUUCAGAAGUUAAGAACACUAAUAUUCCAGAUUAGUGCACUAUAGUUUUAAAAAGACUGAGGUAGGGCAUAUAACUUUGAAAGCUUACGACUCUAGAAACAAAGAUCCUAAAAGCAUACAGAGAGGAGAGGAAAGGAAAAAAAAUGUUCAUAAGUAAAAUUUCUGGAGUAAGAAUGUUAUUGGACUGCUGAAUGAGUAACUUUUUAGAUUACUGGAGAUUAAAAAGCUAAAGAUCGUUGAAAGUUAAAAAGCACUGAAAGCUAAACACCUUAAAAAUGUGGAAGGGAAAUAAUUCUCAACUAGACUGAUAUACCUAGUGAGCCUAUAUCAAAUGUGACAAUGACCUAAUGACAUUUGCAGGCAUCAAGAUUUUAAAGUUUUUACUGCCCAUGCAGCUUUUCCCAGGAAGUUAUCAGAGAUGUUUCCUCAAAAGAGGAGAUAAAACAGGAAGGGAGGAAAACAUGGAUUCCAGGAAACAACGAAUCUAACACAGGAUGAUGGAGACCGUCAGCAGGCAUCCUGAGCAAGCUGACACACUUGGGGUGAGAAGGGGGAGGACUCCAUAGCGAUGUCGCAAAGAAGAUGAAAUUGAUACAACAUUGGAUGCAUUGGGAACAUGUGGAGGAGGAUGGGAGAGAACUUUCAUGCUGGGUUCCGUAUACUCAUUUAUUAUGAGGUUGAAUCCAUGUAGCACCUGUAGUGAAAACGUUUUAGUAUAGAAGAAUUGUGCUGUACAUGCAGUAAAUGCAAACUUCCUAUAAAUUAGUCUCCAAAAAAAUGAGACUUUGCUUUUAACAUGAACUGUAAAUUAUAUUUUUACAGAGCCAAUAAGGCUACUGAUUUUAAGAUGUUUCAAAUUCAAACCAAAGUUUCAAGAGUGGGGGUAUCCUGUAGGCUGCAUAUAUUUAAAUGUGGUCAGUUACAUGCAUUGAUUCCUCCACGAACCAUGGAGUUAAUGAAUACCUUAUGAUGAAUUAUUCAUACCACUAUAACCAUGAGCGUCUUCCCCAGGAGAAAAUCAUUCUAUAAAGACACUAAGGGGAUGGUUGUCUGCCAAAAGCCAAGAUUUGGGGACAGCCUUUCAGAAGCGGUGCUGUCCCAAGGACAGCCAGCAUCCUGCUUGGUACCCACAACGCCCGGCAGCAUAGUGCAUUUCCCAUGAAGUCCCCUGAUUCUAAACUAGAACAAAGGAUACUGCUGUCAGAACAAUUGUCUUAUACAUUUAGAUGUAAGAAUUUAUUGAUUUCCUCUGUCCCGUUACUGGGCACCACCUCCACAAUUCACUCUGGAAUUGAUUCAUGUGUUCUAAGUACAGUAUGAGAAAUAAAUGAAGACAGUUUUAAAUAUACAUAAAUUAAGUUUGAUAUAAUAACGCUUAUACUCUCCACCCUCCUCCAUCAGGUCGGAUGCUGACAGUGUAGUUUGGAGGCGCUGAAGAGCAGAGAAGGGCAGAAUUAUCUUCCAGGAAAGGUAUUCCACUAGCCUUCCCUGUUUUCUCAUAUGCCCAGAAGGGAUGCUGAGAUUAGUCUCUAUGAACGCGUGUUUCCUAAGUAUUCAGCUUUUGUUUGUUUUUAAACUUUUUAACGAAGCCAUGACUGAAAUAGAUCAAUACCCCAUGGAAGCCCCCAGAUAAGAAAGCAGGGAAAGCAUAACAACCCUUGAGCCAAGAUGCAGCCUAUGAUGGGAUGCACUGGAAAAAAAAAGUCGAGAGGACCAUUUCUACUUGCCUCGCAUUGUUCACCUUAGUAAAAACGUAUAGUAAUUGAAAUUCAGAAAAGAUUAAAUAAGGUUCUAGUCGGCCAAGUCUAAGAAUUCUUAUAAUGAGAGAAAAUGGAAAAUAAUGUACAGCUAAUCACAAUUAACUGAAAUGAUCUUGGCAUGGUCACAGCAUCUUUAUUAAUUAAAUGAACAUAUUUUAAUAUGUUUAUGUUAUAUGCA
rnacentral:lncRNA from 1 species